CGGACGGGUGAGUAAUGUCUGGGAAACUGCCUGAUGGAGGGGGAUAACUGCUGGAAACGGUAGCUAAUACCGCAUAACGUCGCAAGACCAAAGAGGGGGACCUUCGGGCCUCUUGCCAUCGGAUGUGCCCAGAUGGGAUUAGCUAGUAGGUGGGGUAACGGCUCACCUAGGCGACGAUCCCUAGCUGGUCUGAGGGGAUGGCCAGCCACACUGGAACUGAGACACGGUCCAG
rnacentral:rRNA from 1 species